rnacentral:lncRNA from 1 species
UGUCAGUCCGACCAGAAUGAAGAACCUUAUGUGAGCAUCACUAAGAAAUGACUGCCAGAUGCCAAAAAUGGCCUUUCAGAGGAGGUCGAGAAAGAGGUUGGCCAGGCAGAAGGCAAGCUGUUUACCCACCGUUCUGCAUUCAGCCGGGCAUCAGUGAUUCAGGCUUUCCUAGGCUCUGCCCCACAACUAACCCUACAACUGUAUAUAACUGUGUUGGAGCAGAACAUCACUCCUGGAAGAUGUAUGUUUUUUGUUUUGUUUUGUU